CUAUUGUUAGUUGCCAGCGGGUAAUGCCGGGAACUCUAACGAAACUGCCGGUGUAAACCGAGAGGAAGGUGGGGAUGACGUCAAAUCAGCACGGCCCUUAUGUCCAGGGCUACACACGUGUUACAAUGGCCGGUACAAAGGGCAGCUACUUGGUGACAAGAUGCUAAUCUCGAAAACCGGUCUCAGUUCGGAUCGAAGUCUGCAACUCGACUUCGUGAAGCUGGAUUCGCUAGUAAUCGCGCAUCAGCAACGGCGCGGUGAAUACGUUCCCGGGCCUU
rnacentral:rRNA from 1 species